rnacentral:rRNA from 1 species
UGGGGAAUAUUGGACAAUGGGCGAAAGCCUGAUCCAGCCAUGCCGCGUGAGUGACGAAGGCCUUAGGGUUGUAAAACUCUUUCGUCGGGGACGAUAAUGACGGUACCCGAAGAGGAAGCUCCGGCUAACUUCGUGCCAGCAGCCGCGGUAAUACGAAGGGAGCUAGCGUUGUUCGGAAUCACUGGGCGUAAAGCGCACGUAGGCGGAUAGUUAAGUCAGGGGUGAAAUCCUGGGGCUCAACCCCAGAACUGCCUUUGAUACUGGCUGUCUCGAGGUCGAGAGAGGUUGGUGGAAUUCCUAGUGUAGAGGUGAAAUUCGUAGAUAUUAGGAAGAACACCAGUGGCGAAGGCGGCCAACUGGCUCGAUACUGACGCUGAGGUGCGAAAGCGUGGGGAGCAAACAGGAUUAGAUACCCCAGUAGUCCCUGAGCGGGCUGGCAAGGCGCAU